CGUUUUCGUUUAAUAAAUGACGUAGAUAGUAUUUAUGGUUCAGUAGUUUAUUUUAUUUGAAUUCAUAUGGUUUUAUGAAUGUAAUAAAGUUUACGGAGUUUUAUGAAUUAAAAAUAAUUUUCUACCCCUCGUGGUAGCGUGUUUUAAAAGAAAAAGGUUUCCUUAUGGGAAACAAUUUUAAAACGGGAAUUUUCUGGUUUUCCUGGUUCUUAGUAUUUCGAAAUGAGUUUCCGGGUAGGAAACGUUUUAAACUAAUAGAUAUGAACUUAUGAAUACUUGUGAUGAACUGAAUGUGGAUGUGAAUGGUGUAUGAAUAUGUGGAUGUUCAUUUGUUAUUGUUGUAUCUUGUACUUGUACGACACCGUGCAAAUACAGAGGGGACU
rnacentral:lncRNA from 1 species